rnacentral:rRNA from 1 species
GACGAACGCUGGCGGCGUGCUUAACACAUGCAAGUCGAACGGAAAGGCCCUGCUUUUGUGGGGUGCUCGAUUGGCGAACGGGUGAGUAACACGUGAGUAACCUCCCCUUGACUUUGUGAUAACUUCUGGAAACUGGGGCGAAUACCGGAUAGGAUCUCCUGCUGCGUGGUGGUGGUUGGAAAGUUUCGGCGGUUGGGGAUGGACUCGCGGCUUAUCAGCUUGUUGGUGGGGUAGUGGCUUACCAAGGAUUUGACGGGUAGCCGGCCUGAGAGGGUGACCGGCCACAGUGGGACUGAGAUGCGGGCAAGACGCCUACGGGAGGAAGCGGCGGGGACUAUAGCAAAAUGGGCGGAAGCAGGAUGGAGCAACGCCGCGUGGGGGAUGACGGCUUUUGGGUUGUAAAAUGCUUUUGCGUGUGACGAAGCGUGAGUGACGGUAAUGGGCAAAGAAGCACCGGUUACUUCCGU